AGUGAACGCUGGCGGUAGGCCUAACACAUGCAAGUCGAACGGCAGCACAGGAGAGCUUGCUCUCUGGGUGGCGAGUGGCGGACGGGUGAGGAAUACAUCGGAAUCUACUCUGUCGUGGGGGAUAACGUAGGGAAACUUACGCUAAUACCGCAUACGACCUACGGGUGAAAGCAGGGGAUCUUCGGACCUUGCGCGAUUGAAUGAGCCUAUGUCGGAUUAGCUCGUUGGCGGGGUAAAGGCCCACCAAGGCGACGAUCCGUAGCUGGUCUGAGAGGAUGAUCAGCCACACUGGAACUGAGACACGGUCCAGACUCCUACGGGAGGCAGCAGUGGGGAAUAUUGGACAAUGGGCGCAAGCCUGAUCCAGCCAUACCGCGUGGGUGAAGAAGGCCUUCGGGUUGUAAAGCCCUUUUGUUGGGAAAGAAAUCCAGCUGGCUAAUACCCGGUUGGGAUGACGGUACCCAAAGAAUAAGCACCGGCUAACUUCGUGCCAGCCGCCGCGGUAA
rnacentral:rRNA from 1 species